AUUCUUAAUCUUUAGAAUAUGAUUUAGAAAUUCUAAUUUGGGGUCAUAAUUAAAAAUAUGUUUCAUGAUAAGAAUACUAGAGGAGAGAGACAUUCAUUUUUUAAUGCAUAUAUAGAGAUGGAUAACAUAGUCAACAAAUAUCCCCCAAAACUUGGUGAGAAGAAACUGUUAUUUUCCAAAACUUUGAUAUGAUGAGGCAAAUAGAAAGCAAAAUCCCUCAUGGAGGCAGAAGAGGAGGAACUUAACAAAUGCCUGUUGAAUAAAUGAAUGAAUGUUUGAGCAUCUACAAUUUUGCAAUGAAUGUUCAGUUUCUUUUUACACAAAAACAUGGCCCUUUCAAAAAGUUACAUUCCUGUUUAUAAGAGACAAAUCUCUCCCCACCCUCUCACUUUCAUUCCUUCCCCUUCAUUUCUCCCUCUCUUGCUUCCUUCCUUCCUGCCUUCCUACCUGCCUACCAUUCUUCUCCAGCAAAUAUUGAGUGCCUUCUCUGGAGCUGGUAUUGUAUGCUGUAUUAUGAAUAAGACAGAUAAAAGAGGCUUUUUGCCCUUAAGAAACUUAUUAUACUCAAGAAAAGAAAUGAUACAUUUAAAUAAAUUUAUAAAUACA
rnacentral:lncRNA from 10 species